rnacentral:rRNA from 1 species
UACGUAGGGGGCUAGCGUUGUCCGGAAUCAUUGGGCGUAAAGCGCGUGUAGGCGGUCCGGUAAGUCCGCUGUGAAAGUCGGGGGGCUCAACCCUCGGAUGCCGGUGGAUACUGUCGGGCUUGAGUACGGAAGAGGCGAGUGGAAUUCCUGGUGUAGCGGUGAAAUGCGCAGAUAUCAGGAGGAACACCAAUUGCGAAGGCAGCUCGCUGGGACGUUACUGACGCUGAGGCGCGAAAGCGUGGGGAGCGAACAGG